rnacentral:lncRNA from 1 species
UCAGGAGCUUAUACCUAGAACAGUCUUCAUGAACUUAUAUUUGGAUCAACCGAUCAGGAGCUCAUAUCUGAGAUAGUCUGUCAGGAGCUUAUGCCUGGGACAGCCCCCACGAACUUUCAUACAUGGGACAGCUAGCUAAGAGCUCAUGCCUGAGACAGUCUUGAUGAGCUUAUGAGUGAAAAUUUGAUUGGAUAGAGACUGAGGCAUAGUCUUGAUUAGUCCAAAACCAAAAAGGAUGAAGGUCAUCAUAUUGAAGUUGUGGAAAGAUGAAUCAGAUGUUAAAAUCAUAUA